rnacentral:rRNA from 1 species
AAUCAACGCUGGCGGCGUGCCUCAGACAUGCAAGUCGAACGAUUAAAGCUCUCUUCGGAGAGUGUAUAGAGUGGCGCACGGGUGAGUAACACGUAAGUAAUCUACCCUCGAGUGGGGGAAUAACAACCGGAAACGGUUGCUAAUAACCGCAUAAUGCAGCGGCACCGCAAGGGUGACAGUUGUUAAAGAUUUAUCGCUUGAGGAGGAGCUUGCGGCAGAUUUAGCUAGUUGGUAGGGUAACGGCUUACCAAGGCUUACGAUCUGUAACCGGUCUAAGAGGACGGUCGGUCACACUGACACUGAAUAACGGGUCAGACUCCUACGGGAGGCAGCAGUCGGGAAUUUUGGGCAAUGGGCGAAAGCCUGACCCAGCAACGCCGCGUGAAGGAUGAAGUAUUUCGGUAUGUAAACUUCGAAAGAAUAGGAAGAAUUAAUGACGGUACUAUUUAUAAGGUCCGGCUAACUACGUG